CAAAGCAGGCUUACGCCCGAAUACAUUANCAUGGAAUAAUAAAAUAGGACGUGCGGUUCUAUUUUGUUGGUUUCUAGGAUCGCCGUAAUGAUUAAUAGGGAUAGUUGGGGGCAUUCGUAUUCAAUUGCUANAGGNGAAAUUCUUGGAUUUAUUGAAGACGAACUACUGCGAAAGCAUUUGCCAAGGAUGUUUUCAUUGAUCAAGAACGAAGGUUAGGGGAUCGAANACNAUCAGAUACCGUUGUANNCUUAACAGUAAACGAUGCCGACUAGGGAUCGGACGA
rnacentral:rRNA from 1 species